UGUAUGCGCCUGCGUGGAGAAAUGAAGUAUGCGCCUGCGUGGAGCAAUGAAGUAUGCGCCUGCGCAAAACCUCAGGGUCCCUGAGUCCCUCAGUUAUCUAUGAACCGAUCUCCUCCGCUGUGGAUAAUCACUAGACAUCCUGGCAAACUGGAAAACCAUCCAUAAAUAUAGGACUUGGAAGUCGUGUGAAAUUUGAACCCAGGCUCCCUGGCUUCAGGGCACUGAACUGGACUAAAAGCCUAUGCUGCUUCUCAAGGGCGAGCGAUAACCUAGAAAGAGCAAUGGAAUGGGCAGGCGAGAGGGCUCUGCUGGUAAAGGUGAUUGCCACCCAAGGCGACAACGGGAAUCAGAUCCCUGGAACCUACAGGAAUGCAGGAGAGAACCAACUCCACAAGGUUAUCCUCUGACUCCCACACACCAAUAGCAUGUGUAUGCCCCCACCCCACUCACCUUUCCAUCCCUCUUCCCCUCUCCCUCCCCCACACUAAUAAUAAACAUUUUUUAAGAAAA